rnacentral:rRNA from 1 species
GAUGAACGCUAGCUACCGGCUUAACGCAUGCAAGUCGAGGGGCAGCAUGUCGGUUGCUUGCAACCGAUGAUGGCGACCGGCGCACGGGUGAGUAACGCGUAUCCAACCUACCCUUGUCCAUCGGAUAACCCGUCGAAAGGCGGCCUAACACGAUAUGCGGUUCACCGCAGGCAUCUAAGGUGAACGAAAUGUGAAGGAGAAGGAUGGGGAUGCGUCUGAUUAGCUUGUUGGCGGGGUAACGGCCCACCAAGGCUACGAUCAGUAGGGGUCCUGAGAGGAAGGUCCCCCACAUUGGAACUGAGACACGGUCCAAACUCCUACGGGAGGCAGCAGUGAGGAAUAUUGGUCAAUGGAUGGGAGUCUGAACCAGCCAAGUAGCGUGCAGGACGACGGCCCUAUGGGUUGUAAACUGCUUUUAUAGGGGGAUCAAGUGUGCCACGUGUGGCAUAUUGCAGGUACCCUAUGAAUAAGGACCGGCUAAUUCCGUGCCAGCAGCCGCGGUAAUACGGAAGGUCCGGGCGUUAUCCGGAUUUAUUGGGUUUAAAGGGAGCGUAGGCCGUCUUAUAAGCGUGUUGUGAAAUGUCGUGGCUCAACCUGGGCAUUGCAGCGCGAACUGUGAGACUUGAGUGCGCAGGAAGUAGGCGGAAUUCGUCGUGUAGCGGUGAAAUGCUUAGAUAUGACGAAGAACUCCGAUUGCGAAGGCAGCCUGCUGUAGCGCAACUGACGCUGAAGCUCGAAAGCGUGNGUAUCGAACAGG